rnacentral:rRNA from 1 species
CUAUCGCUUACAGAUGGGCCCGCGGUGCAUUAGCUAGUUGGUAGGGUAAUGGCCUACCAAGGCAACGAUGCAUAGCCGACCUGAGAGGGUGAUCGGCCACACUGGGACUGAGACACGGCCCAGACUCCUACGGGAGGCAGCAGUAGGGAAUCUUCCGCAAUGGACGAAAGUCUGACGGAGCAACGCCGCGUGUAUGAAGAAGGUUUUCGGAUCGUAAAGUACUGUUGUUAGAGAAGAACAAGGAUAAGAGUAACUGCUUGUCCCUUGACGGUAUCUAACCAGAAAGCCACGGCUAACUACGUGCCAGCAGCCGCGGUAAUACGUAGGUGGCAAGCGUUGUCCGGAUUUAUUGGGCGUAAAGCGCGCGCAGGCGGUCUUUUAAGUCUGAUGUGAAAGCCCCCGGCUUAACCGGGGAGGGUCAUUGGAAACUGGAAGACUGGAGUGCAGAAGAGGAGAGUGGAAUU